rnacentral:rRNA from 1 species
GAUGAACGCUAGCGAUAGGCUUAACACAUGCAAGUCGAGGGGCAGCACAAGGUAGCUUGCUAUCUGGGUGGCGACCGGCGCACGGGUGCGUAACGCGUAUGCAACUUGCCCUAUACAGGAGGAUAACCCGUCGAAAGACGGACUAAUACUGCGUAUGCUCACAACUUGGCAUCAAGUGGUGAGGAAAGAAAUUCGGUAUAGGAUAGGCAUGCGUCCCAUUAGCUUGUUGGUGAGGUAACGGCUCACCAAGGCAACGAUGGGUAGGGGAACUGAGAGGUUUAUCCCCCACACUGGUACUGAGACACGGACCAGACUCCUACGGGAGGCAGCAGUGAGGAAGAUUGGUCAAUGGGCGCGAGCCUGAACCAGCCAAGUCGCGUGAAGGAUGACUGUCUUAUGGAUUGUAAACUUCUUUUAUACGGGAAUAACAAGAGUCACGGGUGACUCCCUGCAUGUACCGUAUGAAUAAGCAUCGGCUAACUCCGUG